ensembl:lncRNA
AUGACCGCAUCUGCAUCGAAGCUCUCAGAGUUGAUAGUUUGUAUCGGCGUCCUUUUUGUGCAAUACAGUACAGAAUACAUCCUGUAUCCAACUAAUGCAGAGUAUAUUCAAGUUGCCAACACACUGGUUGUGAAGAACCCUUUCCAGAGAAAUAUAAAAGGAAAUGACUGUGUAAGUGACAUUGUUUUUAAUCCAUUUGUUUAUCUCUAUCAACAUUAUCACACACAAUAUUGUAGUAACAAUAUAUUGUAAUCUUUAUUUGCUGGAAAAUGAAAAUCAGUCAAAUUUGUGUUUUUAGCACACCUGACACAUCCCUAAACCGGAAAUUUAAAGCAGAACGUGCACCACUCGCAGGUUAUUGUAGCAUAUGUAAGCACACUGCCAUAUGCAUAAUUUAUUUUUGCACUUCAAUGUAAGGAAGAUACUGUACUACAGAUAUUUAAAUCUUUUUUUUGUAUCUACUCCACUUUUUCACUGCCUGACCAUCAUCUUAAUGUUUAUGAAGUUCAAUGUUUUUAUUACUUUUUAUAUCUAAAGUACCUUGUUCAAUAAGUAUUUAGAUGUUUCGCAUAUCUGUCAGGGUCUAAGCAUGAUCUGUUUCUGUUGUUCUGAUGAAGGAAACUUGUGUUGGGGAGGAUUCAGUGUCUUUUGAGAACCAUGUGAAUGUGCUACAAAGUGAGUAUCAGAAAACACCUCCAGACACCUGGACUGUCAAAGACCACACGGCAGGAACAUUCUCCUGGAGACGCUGAGAAAUCACGGAAGGAAUGUCUGUGGAGGAUGUACUCAAAAAACACCCAUACUUAAGGACACCUGCCGGAGUGAGUAUAGUAAAAUAAAUAAUCAACUGUAAAAUAUCUUGUUUCAAAUCUUUUCAUGUAAUAUUUUAUUAUUCUGUACCCUGUUAAAAAUUUAAAACAAUGUAAGAUUUAACAGUGUAUACAAGAACAUGAAAUGCAUCGUAUAUUGUGACCCUUAUACAUUAGCCUUCUAAUAGUUUUUGCAGUUCUGCACUGUAUGUAGCUACACUGUCUGAGCCAAAGAGGAUGGAACAGAAUCUGAUGAAUUUGAAAAGUGUCUUCUUUUUUUUUAAAUUAUUAUUAUUUUUUAUUAAAUUUUAUUUUUUAUUUUGUGAAGGGGGACCCUGCUACACCCUUUCAUACCAUACAGCUGAUGGAUACUGACUGAAAAAUGGCAAUCAUAGGAGGAGGGUUCAGUGUGAUGACAGAAGCUGGAAUAGACAUGUGCCAGUGCACCAGCCUUGAUGAAGCCUUCAUAACAGCCUUCUGGAUGUAUUCUGCUUUCAACAUUGCAUAUCCAACACACCUGAGAAAAACACUGACUUUCCUUCAGAGGCACAUUGUCAACAUUGUGGAAGAUGGAGACAAGCACUGCCAGUAACUUUCCUCUGAGUGAUCAGCCUUUUGUAUUAGAUCCUCAUGCCUCAACUGUACCAUUACACAAAGUGCACUCGAAGGACAUUCACUCUUUUGAAGUUAAUCCAACAUGUUGGAGUUGCACAUGCACAUGAACCAAAUUUUAGUAUAACCUGUGGUAUAGAUGAGUGCCAAUCAACUUUUUUGUGAUUCCAUUCUUUUAGAAAACAUGCACAGGAAUCAUAUGUACAUUUGGUAACAGAAAUGACUGUCUCAGUGAAGAGUCUGCAGUACAAUUAUAUUAUAAUAUAAUGGAGAAGGGUCUGGCUGCAGACUUGCACUUGCACUCUCAGACACUUUGCGCUUCUGCUAGUCACAACACUUGCAGUCUUUUUUAUUUUGUAUUUGGUUAUACUUAUUGGUUACUUUUUGUUUGAAUCUCUCAACAUUUGUGUUUUCUCUUGUGUAGGUAUCAUUGACUGGAAGUCUGUCAGUCCAGAUGUGAGGAAGACCUACAGAGUGAGUUUGAGCUCAGCAGGUGUGAUGGCUGUGGAUACAUCUACAGAAACACCACUGGAUACUGUAGCCAUGGAAAGAAGUGGGUCUUCAUAGCUUUCUAUUCAGACAAAGAGUUUGCUGGAUUCUGUUCUAUGGACUGCUACUACAGAAUGAAUGAAUGAAUGAGUGGUUUAUCUGUCUGUCUAUCUAUCUAUCUAUCUAUCUAUCUAUCUAUCUAUAUAUUUUAUUUUUUUUACUUGAAUUGGCGACUGAAACUGGAAGCUAAAUAAAUGUUUUAGUGGAUAAAGCUGUGUCUGUUUGCUUAUGCAACUUAACAUAAGGUUACUAAACUCUUCUGACUAAUUUUUACAUUUUAUAAUUUAGUGGUUUUGUCAACUAUAUAUUUUUCUCUAUCAGGCAAAACAUUUUUCGAGGGUAACACUUUACAAUUAGUUUCAUUUGUUGACACUGAUGUAUUAACUAACAUUAACUAUUAUUUAUUAAACGUUGUAAGUUAAUAAAAAUACAGCUGUUCGUUGUUUAUUCUUGUUAGUUCACUUCACAGUGCAUUAACUAAUGUUAACAAAUACAACUUUUGACUUUAAUUUAAGAACAGCUAGUGCGACUAACCGUGUUAAGAGACGUUUGUAUUCUCGAAAAAUAAUUGUAAUUUAAAUCAAGACCUAAAUUUGCGGUGGUGAUGACGUCAGUAACCCGCACCAUGCAAGUUUUGAAGGUACUUUCAAAAGUAAUUUAAAAUAAUAUUCUUAAUAUCAUUAACGCCGUUUUUACCUUGGAAGAAUUAAAUUUGGUUUUAUAGGAUUAUGUUGAAUUUAUGGUUUCCUUUUAAUCUGCGAUUAAGAGUAUAUGGCUCGCCAUCUUUUUUUUUUUUUUUUUUUUUACAGCCAUCUUUCGCAUUACCUUUUGGCACGCCCCCUACCUUUCGUUUCACCAAUGAGAAACCUUUUGGCACGCCCCACACCUUUCGGCACGCCCCCACCUUUUGGCACGCCCAUUGCUCCAGGCUGCAGUUACCCCUACUUGUAUUUAGUGGCAGAAACAAGCUUCCAUAAACAGCCCACAAGGUGGGAGUAUUGUAUUGUAUUAUAGCAAGAGAUCCAUGAUGAUGAUAUUCUGCUGUGUUCAGUGACGAGCGCCAAAGUAUUCUUUUAGGCAGCGGCUAUUUGCACUAGGUGUAAAUAGCAUAAUUUGUUAGCGAUAGAUGGAUAGAUUUACACUACGUGCAAAUAGCAGUAUUUUUUUAACGAUGUUAAACAUUUACAAAAACACUAUAAACAUUUAAAACACUAUAGAUUAUAUUUACAAUAUGUUAAAAUAGCAAGAUUUUCUGCUAUUUUUACUACUUAUUUCAAAUAGUGGCAAUUAUCUGCACAUCAGUAGUGCAUUAUAAAACAGUACGCAAUAAUAACGUAGUGAUUGUAAAUUAUCAUUUUAAUUAAAAAUUUUAAAUGGAUGCCACCUUACUGGGACAAAAAAGCCCUCACUACACCUACCCUAACCCUACCCAAUAUUUAUUUUCAUCUUUUUAAUUAUUUCCUUGAUUUUUAUUGAAAAUAAAUGCCUUUACGAUACGAUAUGAGAUUUGAAAAAGGAGAAAAAAAUGUUUGGCAAAAGGCGGAUGCGAACUCGGGUCGAUUGCAUCAAAAUGCACACACUUUAACCACUAAUCCACUACAAUUUACGCUGAGUUAGCGUCGUUUAUCAAUAUUAACUAUCCCAAUCACGUGUUGGUGGGCGAUAGUAUAAGUAGUCUCUGAAACAACGCAGGCUUACACUUAGUGUAAAUAGACACUGAUUCUUUUAACAUUAUAUCAAAUGUUGCUACGGCUGACAUGAGGCUUAUGCAUGUGUUCGUUUGUAAAUAAAGCCUAACAAAAUUUAAUCCACAGCACACACGUCUCAUCAUUACGAUAUAAAACCAGAUAAAAGCCUAUUUAAGUCUCUCUGUAUAGCCUACCACUUUUACACAUGCUUCAGCUACAUUUUUAUUUCCAUACUUUUGAAUUACUUCUGUAUAAAACAGUUUUAAAUCACCCAAAGACGCAGGACCUUUAUUAUACAACUCUUAGACAAAAUUGCGGAUGACAACCGUUUCCAAGCCAGGAUUGGUUAAAUAAAAUGUUUAAGGUGGGGCUCAACAAAGGUGUAUUUGCAUGCACAUUGUAGAUAUCUACAAACAUAUUUUGACUAGUCAAAUUGUUAAUUUCCAGAUAUCUACAUUGCAAUUACGCCUAGUCACAAAGCUAAAUGCAGAUAUCUCUAAAUAUAGUUCUUCCUAGUCAAAAAUCUGAUUGGGAUAUCCAUAAUUAAAUUGCAGAUAUCUUUAAAGGGGUUUUAAAGUCAUAAUUCCAAUUCAAGAUAUCUUUAAAUAUAAUUUGCCUAGUUAAAAUUCCAAUUAAACAUAUCUACAACUGUAAUUUGACUAGUCAUAAAUGAAUUGCAGAUAUCUACAAAUGUAUUUUGAAUAUCUUUAAAAAUUUGGAAUUAAAGAUAUCUUUAAUUGUAUUUUGACUAGUCAAAUCAUAUUUAAAGAUAUAUUGAAUUGGGAUUACGACUAGUCAAAACUCAUUUGAAGAUAUCUCUAAUUGAAUUGUCACUAGUCAAAUUGUAAUUUGAGAUAUCUCGAAAUUAUAUUUAUGGAGAGUCAAAACAAAGUUUUAAAUGUUAAAAUGGCUUGCCAUACUACUCUUGCCUACUUGUUUGCACAACAAACACUACAGCCAAAUUAAACACUAAAAGAAACUACAGCUUUCAUCUGUAAAAGAGAAAAGCAAUAUACAAAUAUACCUUUUUAAAUCUUAGGGACAGCGCUUUUGCAAGUUUCCUUAUUGUGCGCUAAUUCCAUGCCAUGGCCUGGAUUGUAAUCAUGUCUGUUCUGGCUAAAAAAAUGUAAAAAAUAAUCAUAAAUAAUUAAUAGCUCUCCUUGAUGUUGCAUAAUUUUUCACUUUAUCUUUUUUUUAAAGGCUGAUAUGAAGAUGGUCUUGG